AUACGUAGGUGACAAGCGUUAUCCGGAUUUACUGGGUGUAAAGGGCGUGCAGCCGGGGAAGCAAGUCAGGUGUGAAAUGCAGAGGCUUAACCUCUGAAUUGCAUUUGAAACUGUUUUUCUUGAGUACUGGAGGGGCAAUCGGAAUUCCUAGUGUAGCGGUGAAAUGCGUAGAUAUUAGGAGGAACACCAGUGGCGAAGGCGGAUUGCUGGACAGCAACUGAAGGUGAGGCGCGAAAGUGUGGGGAGCAAACAGGAUUAGAUACCCUGGUAGUCCACACUGUAAACGAUGAAUACUAGGUGUGCGGGGACUGACCCCCUGCGUGCCGGCGUUAACACAAUAAGUAUUCCACCUGGGGAGUACGAUCGCAAGGUUGAAACUCAAAGGAAUUGACGGGG
rnacentral:rRNA from 1 species